rnacentral:rRNA from 1 species
AUGCGAUACUUGGUGUGAAUUGCAGAAUUCAGUGAAUCAUCGAAUCUUUGAACGCACCUUGCGCCCUUUGGUAUUCCGAGGGGCAUGCCUGUUUGAGUGUCAUUAAAUACCAUCAACCCUCUUUUGACUUCGGUCUCGAGAGUGGCUUGGAAGUGGAGGUCUGCUGGAGCCUAACGGAGCCAGCUCCUCUUAAAUGUAUUAGCGGAUUUCCCUUGCGGGAUCGCGUCUCCGAUGUGAUAAUUUCUACGUCGUUGACCAUCUCGGGGCUGACCUAGUCAGUUUCAAUAGGAGUCUGCUUCUAACCGUCUCUUGACUGAGACUAGCGACUUGUGCGCUAACUUUUGACUUGACCUCAAAUCAGGUAGGACUACCCGCUGAACUUAAGCAUAUCAAUAAGCGGAGGA